rnacentral:rRNA from 1 species
GAUGAACGCUGGCGGCGUGCCUAAUACAUGCAAGUCGAGCGAACAGAUGAGGAGCUUGCUCCUCUGACGUUAGCGGCGGACGGGUGAGUAACACGUGGAUAACCUACCUAUAAGACUGGGAUAACUUCGGGAAACCGGAGCUAAUACCGGAUAAUAUAUUGAACCGCAUGGUUCAAUAGUGAAAGACGGUUUUGCUGUCACUUAUAGAUGUAUCCGCGCCGCAUUAGCUAGUUGGUAAGGUAACGGCUUACCAAGGCAACGAUGCGUAGCCGACCUGAGAGGGUGAUCGGCCACACUGGAACUGAGACACGGUCCAGACUCCUCAGGGAGGCAGCAGUAGGGAAUCUUCCGCAAUGGGCGAAAGCCUGACGGAGCAACGCCGCGUGAGUGAUGAAGGUCUUCGGAUCGUAAAACUCUGUUAUUAGGGAAGAACAAAUGUGUAAGUAACUAUGCACGUCUUGACGGUACCUAAUCAGAAAGCCACGGCUAACUACGUG